rnacentral:rRNA from 1 species
GACGUAGGGUCCAAGCGUUGUCCGGAUUUACUGGGCGUAAAGAGCGCGUAGGCGGUUUGUCGCGUCUGCCGUGAAAGUCCGGGGCUCAACUCCGGAUCUGCGGUGGGUACGGGCAGACUAGAGUGAUGUAGGGGAGACUGGAAUUCCUGGUGUAGCGGUGAAAUGCGCAGAUAUCAGGAGGAACACCGAUGGCGAAGGCAGGUCUCUGGGCAUUAACUGACGCUGAGGAGCGAAAGCAUGGGGAGCGAACAGG